rnacentral:rRNA from 1 species
GACGAACGCUGGCGGCGUGCUUAACACAUGCAAGUCGAACGGGAAGAGAUGAAGAGCUUGCUCUUUAUCGAAUCCAGUGGCAAACGGGUGAGUAACACGUAAACAACCUGCCUUCAGGAUGGGGAUAACAGACGGAAACGACUGCUACUACCGACUACGUUCCACGGGCCGCAUGACCUGUGGAAGAAAGGGUAGCAUCUACCUGUAAGUUAUCGCCUGAAGAGGGGUUUGCGUCUGAUUAGGCAGUUGGUGGGGUAACGUCCUACCAAACCAACGAUCAGUAGCAGCUCUGCGAGGAUGAUAGGCCACACUGGAGCUGAGACACGGUCCAGACUCCUACGGGAGUCAGCAGUGGGGAAUCUUCAGCAAUGGACGCAAGUCUGACGAAGCAACGCCGCGUGAGUGAAGACGGCCUUCAGGUUGUAAAGCUCUGUGAUCCGGGACGAAAGAGCCUGAGGUGAAUAGCCUAAGGAAGUGACGGUACCGGAAAAGCAAGCCACGGCUAACUACGUG